rnacentral:rRNA from 1 species
AGCAGCCGCGGUAAUUCCAGCUCCAAUAGCGUAUAUUAAAGUUGUUGCAGUUAAAAAGCUCGUAGUUGAAUUUCGGGAUCAAUUUGUUGGUCGUACCUUGGUACGUACUGACAUUAUUGGUUUCCCCCUUCUGAGAAUCCUUGAUGUCAUUAAUUUGGUGUCUUGGGGAAUCAGGACUGUUACCUUGAAAAAAUUUAGAGUAGUUUAAAGCAGGCAUACGCUUGAAUACAUUAGCAUGGAAUAAUGAAAUAGGACGUUCGAUUCUAUUUUGUUGGUUUCUAGGAUCGAUGUAAUGAUUAAUAGGGAUAGUUGGGGGCAUUAGUAUUCAAUUGUCAGAGGUGAAAUUCUUGGAUUUAUUGAAGACUAACUACUGCGAAAGCAUUUGCCAAGGAUGUUUUCAUUAAUCAAGAACGAAAGUUAGGGAUCGAAGACGAUCAGAUACCGUCGUAGUCUUAACCAUAAACUAUGCCGACUAGGGAUCGGAUGGAUGUUAAUUUUUAAUGUACUCAUUCGGCGCCUU